CUGCCUAUACUCGACCGUCAGUGGCAAAGUUGGCGGCCGCCGCAAGGCGGCCGCGCCGUUAAGCCCUGACGAGUAGGAGGGUCGCGGCGGUGUGCGCAGAAGGGUGACGGCGUGAGCCGGCCUGGAGCCGCCGUCGGUGCAGAUCUUGGUGGUAGUAGCAAAUACUCGAGAGAGGGCCUUGAGGACUGAGGUGGAGAAGGGUUUCUUGUGAACAGCAGUUGCACAAGAGUCAGUCGAACCUAAGCCCUGGGAGAGAUCCCAUUCGGACGCGGGUGGUCAGACUCACCACGGUCGCACCCCGUCGGGCGAAAGGGAAUCCGGUUAACAUUCCGGAACCCGGUGCGGAACCGUUCCAAAAUACGGGCCCUCCAUAGCUCGUCGGGGCAACCCGAAAUGACCCGGAGACGCCGUCGGGAGGUCCAGAGAGAGUUUUCUCUUCUCUGUAAGGGAUCGUGGACCAUGGAAUCCUCUAGCAGGGAGAUAUGGUUUGGAGCCCGAAGAGCAGCGCACUUCUGCGGCGUUGUCUGGACCCUCCCCUCGGACCCUGAAAAUCCGGGCGAGGGCCACGUGGAAUAUUUCGCACUGGAUCGUACCCAGAUCCGCAGCAGGUCUCCAA
rnacentral:rRNA from 1 species